GUGAGGAAUAUUGGUCAAUGGGCGGGAGCCUGAACCAGCCAAGUCGCGUGAAGGAAGAAGGAUCUAUGGUUCGUAAACUUCUUUUGCAGGGGAAUAAAGUGCAGGACGUGUCCUGUUUUGUAUGUACCCUGAGAAUAAGGAUCGGCUAACUCCGUGCCAGCAGCCGCGGUAAUACGGAGGAUCCGAGCGUUAUCCGGAUUUAUUGGGUUUAAAGGGUGCGUAGGUGGUUUGAUAAGUCAGCGGUGAAAGUUUGCAGCUUAACUGUAAAAUUGCCGUUGAAACUGUCGAUCUUGAGUGCAAAUGAGGUAAGCGGAAUGUGUUGUGUAGCGGUGAAAUGCUUAGAUAUAACACAGAACUCCGAUUGCGAAGGCAGCUUACUGGGAUGCAACUGACACUGAUGCACGAAAGCGUGGGUAUCAAACAGGAUUAGAAACCCCAGUAGUCC
rnacentral:rRNA from 1 species